UAUGGUCAUUGUGGGAAAGCAGCCGCGGUAAUACGGAAGGUCCAGGCGUUAUCCGGAUUUAUUGGGUUUAAAGGGAGCGCAGGCGGACCUUUAAGUCAGCUGUGAAAUACGGCGGCUCAACCGUCGAACUGCAGUUGAUACUGGAGGUCUUGAGUGCACACAGGGAUACUGGAAUUCAUGGUGUAGCGGUGAAAUGCUCAGAUAUCAUGAAGAACUCCGAUCGCGAAGGCAGGUAUCCGGGGUGCAACUGACGCUGAGGCUCGAAAGUGCGGGUAUCAAACAGG
rnacentral:rRNA from 1 species